GUGGGCCUGGAGAUGAUUGUUCACUGCAGGAGCAUUCACCUUUUUAGAUGGGUGCUUCCUGUCUAGAGAAGGAGACACGGGGAGCUGGAAAGAGAAGCCUGCAGAAAUAGGGACCGGGCAAAAACAAAGGAGGGUGGAGUCGGGGAGUGUAGAAGAGAUAAAGUAAGGACUGGAGUGAGGAAGAGGCAUCAAAAGAGGGAGGGAAUGGUGAAGGCAGAAAACCGUGAGAAACGGGGAGUGAGAAGAUAGCAUGAGAAAGACAGGAUCAAGUCAGGCGUGGUGGCUCACGCCGGUAAUCCCAGCACUUUGGGAGGCUGAGGCGGGCGGAUCAUUUGAGGUCAGGAGUUUGAGACCAGCCUAGCCAACAUUGUCUCUACUAAAAAUACAAAAAUUAGCCAGGUGUGGUGGUGUGUGUCUGUAAUCCCAGCUACUCAAGAGGCUGAGGCAGGAGAAUCGCUUGAACCCAUGGUGGGGUGGAGGUUGCAGUGAGCCGAGAUCGCACCACUGUACUCCAGCCUGGGUGACAGAGUGAGACUCUGUCUCAAAAACAAACAAACAAGCAAACAAAAAAACCAGGUAAACUGAGGCUGGGUUUUGUAUCCCAGACCAAAUGCCUGCACUUUGAAUGCCUGGUUGGGAAGCCUGAGAUUAUCCUGUAGGGAAGCAUCGAGAGCAUGAACUGAAUGGUGUUAGGAGACAAUUAUCCAUGGCUCUCUUACCUUUCUGCCUGUCUCCUGAAAAAGGUAUUAGCCACUUUUGAGUUCCAGAUUGUCUUUUUAUGGAUGUUUCUCUAGAGCAUCAGAGCAUGUUUGUUCACUGUCUUAGAUAAUAAAGAUAAUGUCCUUCCAUAAUGAUUUAUUUAUUGGCUAGGAUAGUAAAUACAACAUGUCCUUCCGGGGCAGGUGGAUCAGCAGUCCGACAUAACAAAGAUAAUAUCUCUCCGAGUUUCAAAGUCAAGCAGAUUUCCUUGCAUCUCCCUUAUAAGAUUGAAGAUUUGUAAAUACAUGUAAACAGAGGUUCCCCAGCAUUGACGCAAACCACUGUGUGCGCAGCAUCUGCCUGAGCCACUCUGAUCAUCCCUGUAGGACCUGGGGGGCAAGGUGAGCCCAUGUGAACAUGAAUCUCAUGCUGCCGGCUGUGCCAUGAGUAAUAAAGUCCUUUGUCUCUGACCCGGAGUUGUUGUGUGUUCUGCCAAUAGUUUCACUGGAUACAAAAUUCUUGGCUGAUAAUUGUUUUGUAUAAGGAGGCUAAAGACAGGACCACAAUCCCUUCUAGGUUGUAGGGUUUUUGCUGAGAAAUCUGCUGUCAAUCUAAUAGGUUUUCCUUUAUAGGUUACCUGAUGCUCCUUCAUCUUGACUUUAGAUAACCUGAUGACUAUGUGCCUAGGGGGGUCAUCUUUUUUUUGUUUUGUUUUGUUUUGAGAUGGAGUCUCACUCUGUUGCCCAGGCUGGAGUGCAGUGGUGCGAUUUCGGCUCACUGCAACGUCCGCCUCCCGGGUUCAAGAGACUCUUCCGCCUCAGCCUCCCGAGUAGCUGGGAUUACAGGUGCGUGCCACCACACCCGGCUACUUUUUUAUAUUUUUAGUAGAGAAGGGGUUUCACUGUGUUAGCCAGGAUGGCCUCGAUCUCCUGACCUUGUGAUUGGCCUGCCUAAGUCUCUUAAAGUUCUGGGAUUACAGGCGUGAACGACUACGCCCGACCAGUGGUCAUCUUUUUGCAAUGAAUUUCCCAGGCGUUCUUUGAGCUUCUCAUGUUUGGAUAUCUAGAUCUCUAGCAAGGCCAAGGAAGAUUAUUCCCCUCAAAUAUGUUUUCCAAACUUUUAGAUUUAUCUUCUUCCUUGGGAACAUGAAUUAUUCUUAGGUUGGUUGUUUAACAUAAUCCCAAACUUCUUGGAGGUCUUGUUCAUUUUUUAAAAAUACUUUUUUCUUUGUCUUUGUUGGAUUGGGUUAAUCCAAAAGUCUUGUCUUUGGGCUCUUAAGUUCUUUCUUCUACUUGUUUGAUUCUAUUGCUGAGACUUUCCAGUGUAUUUUGCAUUUCUCUAAGUGUGUCCUUCAUUUCCAGAAAUUGUAAUUGUUUUUGAUUUACGCUAUUUCUCUGGAGAUUUUUCUGUCCAUAUCCGGUAACACUUUUUAAAAUUUCUUUAAGUUGGUAUUCACCUUUCUCUGGUGCCUUCUUGAGUAGCUUAGUAAUUGAUCUUCUGAUUUUUUUUUUUUCUGGCAAUUUCAGAGAUUUCUUUUUGGUUUGGAUCCAUUGUUGGUGAGCUGGUGUGAUCUUUUUGGCGUGUUAAAUAACCUUGUUUUGUCGUAUUACCAGAAUUGGUUUUCUGGUUCCUUCUCCUUUGUAGACUAUGUCAGAAGGAAGAUCUGGGUCUCAAGGGCUGCUCAGAUUCUGGAUUUAGCUACCCAGUGGAGCGUCUGCGCUCUGGGCUGGUACUGGGGGGUGUCUGCAAAGAGUCCUGUGAUGUGAUUCAUCUUCAGGUCUCUUAGCUGUGGAUAUCAGCACCUGCUCCGUUGGAGGUAACAGAGGAGUAAAGUAGACUCGCUGGGGUUCCUUGGUUGUAUUAUUUUUUAGUGCGCUGGUUUUGUGUUGGUUGGCCUCCAGCCAGGAGACGGCACUUUCAAGACAGCAUCAGCUGCAGUAGUACAGGGAGGAAAACAGCUUGCCCUAGGGUUACCUGGAUAAGUAUUCAGGUUUCUCAGGUGGAGGAUGGGGCCAGAUAGCUUCCAAGAGAGUAUGUCCUUCGUCUUUGGCUACUAGGGCAGGUAGAGGAACACCAUCAGGUGGGGGCAGGGUUAGGGGUGUCUGAGUUCAGACUCUCCUUGGGUAAGGGUCGCUGUGGCUGCUGUGUGGGGGUGGGGUGUGGUUCUCAGGCCAAUGAGGUUAUGUUCCCAGGGGAAUUAUGGCUGCCUCUACUGCAUCAUGUGGGUCACCAGGGAAGUGGGAGAAAGCCAGCAGUUUCAGGGCUCACCCAGCUCCCAUGCAGCCCAAAAAGCUGGUCUCAUUCCCACUGUGUGCAUCCCCAAUCAAUGCACAGUUUGUUUGCAGGCAGCAGGUGCGCAGGGCUGGGAACUCGCCCCAGGCUACAAGCCUCCCUGCUGAGAAAGCAAGCAGGGCUUUCAGGUUUCGUGCCUCCCCACCUGCUGCAGCUUCUGUGCUCAUGUCUGCACUCACAGUUCACCCCCUCCCCUGAGUUCUGUCCAGGAAACUUCGUGUUCAGUUGAAAUUGUUGCAAAGUUCAGCUGGAAGCUUCCUUCUCCCUGUAGUCUUUCCCCAAUUCCGUUGGCAGCCCUCCCCAAGGACCCCUGUGAGAUGAAGUCAGAAAUGGCUUCCCUGGGGACCAACAGUACCCUCAGGGCUCUUCCUGCUGCUUUCUCUACCCCCCGUAUUUCAUUCAGCUCUCUAAGUUCAUCUCGGCUCCAGAAGCUGAAGACCUCAGAAAACCUGAUCAACAUGAAAUAUGGACAGUAAGCAAGCCUGGAUCUGAGAGAGAUAUCAUCUUGCAAGGAUGCCUGCUUUACAAACAUCCUUGAAACAACAAUCCAGAAAAAAAAAGGUGUUGCUGUCUUUGCUCAGAAGACACACAGAUACGUGACAGAACCAUGGAGAAUUGCCUCCCAACACUGUUCAGCCAGAGCCUUCCACCCUUGUCUGCAGGACAGUCUCAACGUUCCACCAUUAAAUACUUCUUCUGUCACAUCCUGCUUAUUUAUGCCUAACCAAGGUUCUAGGUCCCGAUCGACUGUGUCUGGCAGCACUCCACUGCCAAACCCAGAAUAAGGCAGCGCUCAGGAUCCCGAAGGGGCAUGGCUGGGGAUCAGAACUUCUGGGUUUGAGUGAGGAGUGGGUCCACCCUCUUGAAUUUCAAAGGAGGAAGAGGCUGGAUGUGAAGGAACUGGGGGAGGGAAAGUGUCAGUUCCGAACUCUUAGGUCAAUGAGGGAGGAGACUGGUAAGGUCCCAGCUCCCGAGGUACUGAUGUGGGAAUGGCCUAAGAAUCUCAUAUCCUCAGGAAGAAGGUGCUGGAAUCCUGAGGGGUAGAGUUCUGGGUAUAUUUGUGGCUUAAGGCUCUUUGGCCCCUGAAGGGCAGAGGCUGGAACCAUUAGGUCCAGGGUUUGGGGUGAUAGUAAUGGGAUCUCUUGAUUCCUCAAGAGUCUGAGGAUCGAGGGUUGCCCAUUCUUCCAUCUUGCCACCUAAUCCUUACUCCACUUGAGGGUAUCACCAGCCCUUCUAGCUCCAUGAAGGUGCCCCUGGGCAAGCACAAUCUGAGCAUGAAAGAUGCCCCAGAGGCCUUGGGUGUCAUCCACUCAUCAUCCAGCAUCCACACUCUGAGGGUGUGGCCAGCACCAUGACGUCAUGUUGCUGUGACUAUCCCUGCAGCGUGCCUCUCCAGCCACCUGCCAACCGUAGAGCUGCCGACAUCCUCCUCUGGUGGGAGUGGCCUGCAUGGUGCCAGGCUGAGGCCUAGUGUCAGACAGGGAGCCUGGAAUCAUAGGGAUCCAGGACUCAAAAGUGCUAGAGAAUGGCCAUAUGUCACCAUCCAUGAAAUCUCAAGGGCUUCUGGGUGGAGGGCACAGGGACCUGAACUUAUGGGUUUUCCCCAAGUCUAUUGCUCUCCCAAGUGAGUCUCCCAGAUACGAGGCACUGUGCCAGCAUCAGCCUUAUCUCCACCACAUCUUGUAAAAGGGACUACCCAGGGCCCUGAUGAACACCAUGGUGUGUACAGGAGUAGGGGGUGGAGGCACGGACUCCUGUGAGGUCACAGCCAAGGGAGCAUCAUCAUGGGUGGGGAGGAGGCAAUGGACAGGCUUGAGAACGGGGAUGUGGUUGUAUUUGGUUUUCUUUGGUUAGAUAAAGUGCUGGGUAUAGGAUUGAGAGUGGAGUAUGAAGACCAGUUAGGAUGGAGGAUCAGAUUGGAGUUGGGUUAGAGAUGGGGUAAAAUUGUGCUUCGGAUGAGUUUGGGAUUGACACUGUGGAGGUGGUUUGGGAUGGCAUGGCUUUGGGAUGGAAAUAGAUUUGUUUUGAUGUUGGCUCAGACAUCCUUGGGGAUUGAACUGGGGAUGAAGCUGGGUUUGAUUUUGGAGGUAGAAGACGUGGAAGUAGCUGUCAGAUUUGACAGUGGCCAUGAGUUUUGUUUGAUGGGGAAUCAAACAAUGGGGGAAGACAUAAGGGUUGGCUUGUUAGGUUAAGUUGCGUUGGGUUGAUGGGGUCGGGGCUGUGUAUAAUGCAGUUGGAUUGGUUUGUAUUAAAUUGGGUUGGGUCAGGUUUUGGUUGAGGAUGAGUUGAGGAUAUGCUUGGGGACACCGGAUCCAUGAGGUUCUCACUGGAGUGGAGACAAACUUCCUUUCCAGGAUGAAUCCGGGGAAGCCUUAAUUCACGUGUAGGGGAGGUCAGGCCACUGGCUAAGUAUAUCCUUCCACUCCAGCUCUAAGAUGGUCUUAAAUUGUGAUUAUCUAUAUCCACCUCUGUCUCCCUCACUGUGCUUGGAGUUUACCUGAUCACUCAACUAGAAACAGGGG
rnacentral:lncRNA from 10 species